rnacentral:lncRNA from 1 species
GAAGAUGGCCAUCUCCUUUGUGUAAACUUUUUUCUUGCUAGCCUCUCUGUUCCAUGAUGAAAAGUAACCGGUCACAACUUGAACUUUAAAUGCUAAAUACUUGAGAGAGUAAUGUGUCUUGUUAUGUAUAAAUGAGUUCAGGGAUGACAUCGAAGGGCAAUGCUAAUUUCUUGAUUAAGCAAGUAUCCUGGACUUACUCGAGGAUGAGCAAAGUUUAAGCAUGGG